CCUUUGCAUCAUGGUUAUGGUUCUUAGUCUGAAAAGCUAAGAGGGAAUUGGGUGAAAAUCCCGAACAGUUACCGCUGCUGUAAUCUCCAAACCAAACUUUUUGUCCAUGAAAAGCCACUAUUCGCCAACUGGCGCACGGGAAGGCCGGCAAAAAGGGAGUAAGUCAGAAGACCUGCCACUAACCAAUUGCAUUU
rnacentral:ncRNA from 2 species